GAUGAACGCUGGCGGCGUGCCUAAUACAUGCAAGUCGAGCGAACAGACGAGGAUCUUGCUCCUCUGACGUUAGCGGCGGACGGGUGAGUAACACGUGGAUAACCUACCUAUAAGACUGGUAUCACUUCGGGAAACCGGCGCUAAUACCGUAUAAUAUAUUGCACCGCAUUGUUCAAUAGUGAAAUACGGUUUUGCUGUCACUUAUAGAUGGAUCCGCGCCGCAUUAGCUAGUUGGUAAGGUAACGGCUUACCAAGGCAACGAUGCGUAGCCGACCGGAGAGGGUGAUAGGCGACACGGGAACUGAGACACGGUCCAGACUCCUAAGGGAGGCAGCAGUAGGGAAUCUUCCGCAAAGGGCGAAAGCCUGACGGAGCAACGCCGCGUGAGUGAUGAAGGUCUUCGGAUCGUAAAACUCUGUUAUUAGGGAAGAACAAAUGUGUAAGUAACUAUGCACGGCUUGACGGUACAUAAUCAGAAAGCAACGGCUAACUACGUG
rnacentral:rRNA from 1 species